AAAAAAACAAAAACAAAAAAAGAACUUAUUGGGAGUUAGUGUGUUUAAAUAAAGUAAAAUAGUAAUAAUAAGUAUAAUGAUCGAACCCAACACUUAAUCCCCGUGAUCUUUAUCACUGACACGGAUCCACAGUGUAUAUUGUUGUGUGCAUAGUUGUUUGACUUUGAGAGGGCGGGACUCUUUGGAGAGCGAAAUGAACUAGGCGCGGCCAAAAAAGAGCCCCAUCCAUCUAUCACACGUGUAGACAAAGGGGGACUCCACAACACAAAGCUAGAUGUGCCCUCUCAAACUUUUUUCCCCCCCUACAACCGACAGCAGCGCGCGCACAGGAAGCCGACUGCCCAGGUGGGAAUUUAAGCAAUUUAACCGGUACAGUGCUUGCUUCUGAUGGAUUAAGAAAAUAAAAAAAGAUGUGUAGAAAAAAAAACACAUGGAAGAUGUACAGAUUCACCUAUCAAGCUAUUUUUAAGAUGAAAUGAAGGAUUAAGAGACUGUUCACUUUUCUUCUGGAUGAACAUGAAGACUUAUCUUAUGAGGAUUUAGACUUCAGCAGCAGCAGCGCCAGUCGGAUUGUGUUUUAGGCACACUUGGAAAUCUAAACCUCAUGGAGAUACUUUGAGGAUUAUAAAAGAUGUGCAUGUAGAAUGCCACAAUACAAGACGCGUCCUGGGCCAAAGUCCUUGGGAUAGCAGGAUAUUGCUUUCCUGAUCCUUCUCAGCCCUCAGCAUGGGGAGUGUGGGAGUGGUGAGGUCUGGGAGAUCACGACCUUAAUUCUCUCCAAGACAGACGGUUUAAUUAACACUGGAAGAAUCCUCACUGACUCCAGACCUCUACAGUGAGAAUGUACAGGGGAAUUGGCUUGCCAAGGUCCUCUUGGCCAUAGACUGAAAUGCUGACAGACGAUGCCCAUGAAUGAUGAAUGAUGACUGGAGGUCUGUCUGGUGCCAGCAGAAUGCAUAAUACAGCAUCGAUACAGCAAUCGCAGUCCUCCUCAGCAGAAACAUGGUGCGGUUUCUGUAUCACAUUAUUGGAAGAUUUGCCCCAAGCAGGACAGCAGGACCACUCAAAGUGGAAAUCAACCGCAAUGUUGAAUGUUGUUUUGGGUUGGAGUCCUAAAUGAAGCAGCAUUACAAAGAGUUUUCUGGUGUGUCAGAGUGAGGCUCAGUGGGAAAGAUUGCUGUGUCUAGACAGGAGUGUGAGGUGCUGAUCUACACAGAAGCUUACAGGAAACUGAAGAAGACGGGUGAGGUUAAAGAGGACAGCACGAUGGAAAAAACAAGAAUAAAAGCAGAUGUGCACAAGUCUGCCAGCCGUUAACCCCACAGAGGAAGUGUGCAGGAAAUGAGAUCAGCCUUAAACAGAGUUUUGCCUGAAAACUUUUGGACCAACACAACCUGGGAAAGGUUAAGAUGAACAAAAGAGACUGCAACAGAAAGUGGAUAGAGAGUCAGUAACACCACAGCAGGAGGUGAAAGGAGGAGACCUGCAGGCAGGAAGAGAGAGGAGAGGGAAACUGUGCAAAAGUACAGCACAGAAUCGUGCCUCACAUCAGAUGGCAGCAAUGCAAAAAUGUGUGACACUGCAAAAUGAAGGCAAAGGAGAGAAAAAAAAAACAUCUGUGUGCGAUAGGGUUUAAAUCCAAUAACUGCAUGCAUGUAUGGAUCCGAGUCAUUGUUCAAAUAUUUGAGCCUUUGUGUGUGCGUGUGUGUGUGCAUGUGCACUUGCACAAUGAAUGGGGUGCCAGGCGGCAGCAGCUGGGAAUGCCUUCCUCUGUUCUCCUGUCAUCAAUAAAUGAUCAGAGUGGGCCAUCUGGAGAGAGGGAACCACCAACCACCAGGACCUGGCACUGAACGAAUGACACAGAGAAAGAAAAAGAAUGUGAGGAUAGAUCAGUGAACAGUAAGAGUAAGAGCAAGAUGGGACAGGAAGGGGGAAGUUACAUUUAAAGAACACUGGGGAGGCAAUUAAAAAGAUGAUGUGAAAAAGACCCUACAAUAUACUGGUGGAGCUCAAAAGAAAAUAGAAUAUUGUGAAAAGUUGUUUUUUCAUGAUUUAAUUCAAAAAGGCAUCAUCUCCGAUAUUCUUUUGUUUAUAUUUUUAUGAUUAUGGCUUAUAGCUCACGAAAAUCAGAAAUCAAGCAUCUUAUGUAAUUAGAAUAUUUCCAAACGGCAAUCAAAAAAAGGAUUUACUAUACUUCUGAGUAUGCUUUUUAUUCUACAGUACUUGAUUGGGUUUCUUUUACCAUGAAUUACUGGAUCAGUGCAGUGUGAUGCAGAGGCAUUCAGCUUGUGGUGUUGCUAAAAGCCAGGUUGCUUUGAUAACAGUCUUCAGCUCAUCUGUACUUUUGGGCUGAGUAUUUCACAUCUUACUCUUGUCAGUACCCUAUAAAUUGUCUGUAGGGUUCAGUCAGCUGAUCAAUUAAGCACAUUACAAUAAAAUUCACAUGACAAUAACUUGGUAAGCAAACCAUUUGGAAGUAGUUUUGGCACUGUUUGCAGGUGGUAGGUUUAAUCAAAAAGGAAACCGGCAUCGCCAUAAAGCUUUUCAACAGAUGGAAUCGUGACCUGAUCUCCUGGUAGACAGCUGUGUUGACUUUGGAUUUGAUGAAACAGAGUGAACCAACCACCACCAACACCAGCAGAUGACAUGGCACAAUAAAUCCUAACAGACUGCACAAACUUUACACUGGCAUUUCAACACUUACAUCUGUGUCUCUCUAGACUCUAGGAUCUUGAUUUUCAAAUGAAAUCAAAUUUACUUUCAUUUGAAACGAGGACUUUGGACCAUUAAGCCACAGUUUAGUUCUUUUUUUCCUUAGUCCAGCUAAGAUACUCCUGACACUGUCUGUGGUUCUGGAGUCUUUUGCCAUUACUUUUGCAACACUUGAAAGUGGCUGUGCAUGGUGGCUGUUGAUGUAUUGCAACCACCUGGGAUUCCUCUGGCCCGCCAGUAACCCCUUCACUUCCUGCCUGCUGAGAGAAAUAUCCAAGAAGAGCUCAGACUCCACUCCUCAAUUAUCAGCCAACUUUUACUACUGUAUACUUACCCCUGACCAUCACUAACCCCCCAUUUACUCUGCAGCAGAGCUUCCUGUUCAUUCCUGUAGAAAGAUACUCACUGGAGCACUUACCUUUUUCAGACUCCUGUUUUUUUUUUUUCAUUCCAAGUAGUUCUUAAAACUGUUGCUGUUCACAAGCAAAACGUGCUGUAAUGUGACUCGACAAAUUUGCACCUAGACAAAAAGAGUAAACUUCGACCACAUGUGCCAGAAGAAAAAUGCAGUUGUUUGUAGAGAUCGAAAGAACUCACACUUUUGCAUACUCAGAUACUACAUUUGACAUAAUACAUACAUAAUAUGACAUUUUCAGAGACAGAAAAUAUGCAAAGAAUAUGCAUAAAAUAAUUAGUUAAUUAAAAGUAAUUUUUUAAUGUAUUUAUUUUCACUUUUUUUUGUGACUGGAGUUAGGAGUGCCAUGGUCCUGAGUCUUUGACUUAGUAUUUUGAGUUUUAUACCCACCUGUUUCUUGGAAAGUUAUAAGAUAAUGUAAGUUCUUGUUCCUGAAUAUAUUAUGUUCUAGUGCCUCUGAGUUUGUUAUUUAAAUUUCUUGAAUUCUAGUUUCAUUAUUUUGUCUGUCUCUUAUAUGUGGUCUCUGAGUCUCUGUUUGUUUACCUCUGGUCUACCCAGUUGUGUCUCAGUGGCUGUCUGGUCUCUCUGUGUUCUGUCUCAUUUUUAGAAAAUCUUACUAAAUAAUAUUUAAAAAGCCAUGCUAUCCAAGCAUUAUGACAUUUGAAUUGAAGGAGAGUUAAUAAUUAAUCACUUAAUGGUGGAAGUAGUAUACAUUUAUCACUCUUUACAGUAGCUUAGUACAGCUCAGUACAGUACACUAUGCUGGAAGAACAUGAUAAAUAUUCAUAACAAUAGAUCCUGUUUGUAGGCUUGCAUUAGAAUCACAUGACUUUCUUUUUCUCACACUCACUGACAGUUUUCUAAAAUAUUCUAAUAUGCUGAAACUUGUAUCAGUUUUUGUUAUGUAUGUGCUACAUUUUAUUAUUAAGUAAGUUAUAAAGCUUCACAUAUACAUAUGUACACUUUUGUCUGCUAUACCCACUGGACCGCCAUACUAUUAUAAGCAGGCCCCUUUUAUUUUAACGUAAACCACAAAAGCAAAACCAUUCAUUAGCAGUCUUGCUAUCAUCCCCACAAACGUCUGUGGCCAUUUCAUUAUGUGAGCUAUAUUUUGAGCGUUUAUUUAAGAAAGCAGUUUAAUUCAUAUGUCAUAUUAAAUCAUAUUUUAUAUAUGUUACAUAUUAUAUACU
ensembl:lncRNA